AACGCUCAACCCAUUCCUUUCUUCCUCUAAUUCAACAACUCGAGCCUGAAGCCUUGCAAUCUCAGCAUCCUUUCUCCCAACCCCCUGAACUAAGGCUCUGACCUUGCUAUUCACAAGAGUCUUCACUGUUGAACCAGAUUCAACUGGGCCUACACUAAGAAAAUUAUCACAUGCUUGGAGGGUCUUGAUGCCAAAGUGCUCUUUGCUAG
rnacentral:lncRNA from 1 species